AAGAAGGCUGUGAAGAGAAGAAGUAGCGGACAGAGGGACAUACAGAAAGUUGCCGGCUGAUGAGAGGCACAUGGAAGACUGUCAGCGAAUACAUCUUGGAGCUUCGCAUUGAAAUCCACUGUAUUUUGAGGAAAAGAUAAAUGCAGACAGGAGAGUAGGCUGCGACGGAGUUUGCACGUUAUAGCACAAAAGAGGCUGACAGAGAAAGGUCAGCGAAUUAAGGUGGUACCACGAGAGAUUCGUCCUUAUU
rnacentral:ncRNA from 1 species